AACGAACGCUGGCGGCAGGCUUAACACAUGCCAGUCGAGCGCCCCGCAAGGGGAGCGGCAGACGGGUGAGUAACGCGUGGGAACGUACCUUUUGGUUCGGAACAACUCCGGGAAACUGGAGCUAAUACCGGAUAAGCCCUAACGGGGAAAGAUUUAUCGCCGAAAGAUCGGCCCGCGUCUGAUUAGCUAGUUGGUGAGGUAACGGCUCACCAAGGCGACGAUCAGUAGCUGGUCUGAGAGGAUGAUCAGCCACACUGGGACUGAGACACGGCCCAGACUCCUAAGGGAGGCAGCAGUGGGGAAUAUUGGACAAUGGGCGCAAGCCUGAUCCAGCCAUGCCGCGUGAGUGAUGAAGGCCUUAGGGUUGUAAAGCUCUUUUGUCCGGGAAGAUAAUGACUGUACCGGAAGAAUAAGCCCCGGCUAACUUCGUG
rnacentral:rRNA from 1 species